rnacentral:rRNA from 1 species
CAGUAGCCGCGGUAAUACAGAGGGUGCGAGCGUUAAUCGGAUUUACUGGGCGCAAAGCGUGCGUAGGCGGCUUUUUAAGUCGGAUGUGAAAUCCCUGAGCUUAACUUAGGAAUUGCAUUCGAUACUGGGAAGCUAGAGUAUGGGAGAGGAUGGUAGAAUUCCAGGUGUAGCGGUGAAAUGCGUAGAGAUCUGGAGGAAUACCGAUGGCGAAGGCAGCCAUCUGGCCUAAUACUGACGCUGAGGUACGAAAGCAUGGGGAGCAAACAGGAUUAGAUACCCCUGUAGUCCCUGUCUCUUAUAC